rnacentral:rRNA from 1 species
GAGUUUGAUCGUGGCUCAGGAUGAACGCUGGUGGUAUGCUUAAUACAUGCAAGUCGUACGAGGUACCUUUGGUACUUAGUGGCAAACGGGUGAGUAACACGUAUUCAACCUGCCUAUUAGUGGGGGAUAACAUCUGGAAACAGUUAUUAAUCCCGCAUAAUUAUUCAUUAGGAUAACUUAAUAAAUUAAAAGAAACUUUAGUUUUGCUAGUAGAGGGGGGAUGCGUCGUAUUAGUUAGUUGGUGAGGUAACGGCUCACCAAGACGAUGAUACGUAGUCGGCCUGAGAGGGUGUUCGGCCACAUUGGGACUGAGACACGGCCCAGACUCCUACGGGAGGCAGCAGUAAGGAUAUUCCACAAUGGACGCAAGUCUGAUGGAGCAAUACCACGUGAUCGAUGACGGCUCUCGGGUUGUAAAGAUCUG